AGAGAGAAGAAAACUGCAUGACUUUAAAAGAAAACCAGUGAGAUAAAAUCAUAUAAAAUGUAUGAUGAUUCAGGAUGUGGUCAUUUGAGACCUGUUCUGUGGAUGCCCUUAGACAGUGUGUCUACCCAUCACGCCAUCUGAUAUCACUUGUUCUGAGCAUAUUUCUCUCUCAGACUUAAACUACAGAGAGCCUGUGGAUAGAGGAUGAAGAGUGACCUUGGACUAAUUUUCUAGGUCAAAGAUCAUAGGUGAUGUGAAGGAAAUACCAGGGAACUGAUGUUGAAAGAAGCACUUAA